UCAUAGGUUAAUGAGGCGAACCGGGGGAACUGAAACAUCUAAGUACCCCGAGGAAAAGAAAUCAACCGAGAUUCCCCCAGUAGCGGCGAGCGAACGGGGAGCAGCCCAGAGCCUGAAUCAGUGUGUGUGUUAGUGGAAGCGUCUGGAAAGGCGCGCGAUACAGGGUGACAGCCCCGUACACAAAAAUGCACAUGCUGUGAGCUCGAUGAGUAGGGCGGGACACGUGGUAUCCUGUCUGAAUAUGGGGGGACCAUCCUCCAAGGCUAAAUACUCCUGACUGACCGAUAGUGAACCAGUACCGUGAGGGAAAGGCGAAAAGAACCCCGGCGAGGGGAGUGAAAAAGAACCUGAAACCGUGUACGUACAAGCAGUGGGAGCACGCUUAGGCGUGUGACUGCGUACCUUUUGUAUAAUGGGUCAGCGACUUAUAUUCUGUAGCAAGGUUAACCGAAUAGGGGAGCCGAAGGGAAACCGAGUCUUAACUGGGCGUUAAGUUGCAGGGUAUAGACCCGAAACCCGGUGAUCUAGCCAUGGGCAGGUUGAAGGUUGGGUAACACUAACUGGAGGACCGAACCGACUAAUGUUGAAAAAUUAGCGGAUGACUUGUGGCUGGGGGUGAAAGGCCAAUCAAACCGGGAGAUAGCUGGUUCUCCCCGAAAGCUAUUUAGGUAGCGCCUCGUGAAUUCAUCUCCGGGGGUAGAGCACUGUUUCGGCAAGGGGGUCAUCCCGACUUACCAACCCGAUGCAAACUGCGAAUACCGGAGAAUGUUAUCACGGGAGACACACGGCGGGUGCUAACGUCCGUCGUGAAGAGGGAAACAACCCAGACCGCCAGCUAAGGUCCCAAAGUCAUGGUUAAGUGGGAAACGAUGUGGGAAGGCCCAGACAGCCAGGAUGUUGGCUUAGAAGCAGCCAUCAUUUAAAGAAAGCGUAAUAGCUCACUGGUCGAGUCGGCCUGCGCGGAAGAUGUAACGGGGCUAAACCAUGCACCGAAGCUGCGGCAGCGACGCUUAUGCGUUGUUGGGUAGGGGAGCGUUCUGUAAGCCUGCGAAGGUGUGCUGUGAGGCAUGCUGGAGGUAUCARAAGUGCGAAUGCUGACAUAAGUAACGAUAAAGCGGGUGAAAAGCCCGCUCGCCGGAAGACCAAGGGUUCCUGUCCAACGUUAAUCGGGGCAGGGUGAGUCGACCCCUAAGGCGAGGCCGAAAGGCGUAGUCGAUGGGAAACAGGUUAAUAUUCCUGUACUUGGUGUUACUGCGAAGGGGGGACGGAGAAGGCUAUGUUGGCCGGGCGACGGUUGUCCCGGUUUAAGCGUGUAGGCUGGUUUUCCAGGCAAAUCCGGAAAAUCAAGGCUGAGGCGUGAUGACGAGGCACUACGGUGCUGAAGCAACAAAUGCCCUGCUUCCAGGAAAAGCCUCUAAGCAUCAGGUAACAUCAAAUCGUACCCCAAACCGACACAGGUGGUCAGGUAGAGAAUACCAAGGCGCUUGAGAGAACUCGGGUGAAGGAACUAGGCAAAAUGGUGCCGUAACUUCGGGAGAAGGCACGCUGAUAUGUAGGUGARGYSMCUYGCKSRUGGAGCUGAAMUCAGUCGAAGAUACCAGCUGGCUGCAACUGUUUAUUAAAAACACAGCACUGUGCAAACACGAAAGUGGACGUAUACGGUGUGACGCCUGCCCGGUGCCGGAAGGUUAAUUGAUGGGGUUAGCGCAAGCGAAGCUCUUGAUCGAAGCCCCGGUAAACGGCGGCCGUAACUAUAACGGUCCUAAGGUAGCGAAAUUCCUUGUCGGGUAAGUUCCGACCUGCACGAAUGGCGUAAUGAUGGCCAGGCUGUCUCCACCCGAGACUCAGUGAAAUUGAACUCGCUGUGAAGAUGCAGUGUACCCGCGGCAAGACGGAAAGACCCCGUGAACCUUUACUAUAGCUUGACACUGAACAUUGAGCCUUGAUGUGUAGGAUAGGUGGGAGGCUUUGAAGUGUGGACGCCAGUCUGCAUGGAGCCGACCUUGAAAUACCACCCUUUAAUGUUUGAUGUUCUAACGUUGACCCGUAAUCCGGGUUGCGGACAGUGUCUGGUGGGUAGUUUGACUGGGGCGGUCUCCUCCUAAAGAGUAACGGAGGAGCACGAAGGUUGGCUAAUCCUGGUCGGACAUCAGGAGGUUAGUGCAAUGGCAUAAGCCAGCUUGACUGCGAGCGUGACGGCGCGAGCAGGUGCGAAAGCAGGUCAUAGUGAUCCGGUGGUUCUGAAUGGAAGGGCCAUCGCUCAACGGAUAAAAGGUACUCCGGGGAUAACAGGCUGAUACCGCCCAAGAGUUCAUAUCGACGGCGGUGUUUGGCACCUCGAUGUCGGCUCAUCACAUCCUGGGGCUGAAGUAGGUCCCAAGGGUAUGGCUGUUCGCCAUUUAAAGUGGUACGCGAGCUGGGUUUAGAACGUCGUGAGACAGUUCGGUCCCUAUCUGCCGUGGGCGCUGGA
rnacentral:rRNA from 1 species